rnacentral:pre_miRNA from 1 species
UAAUUGAAUCUUGGCUGUCAAACAAAUCUCUAUUCUUGAUAGUUACAAUGGUGUUGCUAAUUCAAUCAUCAAAGAAUAGAGAUUUGUUUAACAGCCACGAUUUGAUU